rnacentral:lncRNA from 1 species
GGAGGUUGGUGGUGAUCUAAUCUCAGCAGGGCUCCGCCCGAGCUCCGCAGAAACGCGAUCUAGAGGUAAAACCUUGGAGGUAUGUGGUCGAGCUGCCGUUGCAAAAGUUGUCUCAAAUCAGCCCUAAAACCCCACUAUAUAUAGGAGGGAGGGAGGGGAGGAGGCAGCCUCAAAACCUAAAGGUUUGGCCGAAAUUGGAGGAGGAGGAGUCCUACUCCAAUCCUACUUGGAGUAGGAUUCCACCUUCCCACUUGGAAACUCUUUCCACCUUGUGUUUUUUCCUUCUCAAACCUUAUGGGCCUUAGUGGGAACUUAUUCCAGCACACUAGGGGCUGGUUUAUCUCUUCCCAUAGCCCAUGAGACCCCUUGGGGCGUGACACCCCUUCUGAUGGUCCCCGGCACCCCUCCCGGCACUCCCAGUACACUACCGAUGAGCCCGAAACUUUUCCGAUAAUGCACGAAAACCUUCCGGUAACCAAAUGAGGUCAUCCUAUAUAUCAAUCUUUGUUUUCGGACCAUUCCUGAAACCCUCGUGACGUCCGUGAUCUCAUUCGGGACUCCAAACAACAUUCGGUAACCAACCAUAUAACUCAAAUACGCAUCAAACAACGUCGAACCUUAAGUGUGCAGACCCUGCGGAUUCGAGAACUAUGUAGACAUGACCCGAGUGACUCCUCGGUCAAUAUCCAAUAGCGGGACCUGGAUGCCCAUAUUGGAUCCUACAUAUUCUACGAAGAUCUUAUCGUUUGAACCUCAGUGCCAAGGAUUCAUAUAAUCCCGUAUGUCAUUCCCUUUGUCCUUCGGUAUGUUACUUGCCCGAGAUUCGAUCGUCAGUAUCCGCAUACCUAUUUCAAUCUCGUUUACCGGCAAGUCUCUUUACUCGUUCCGUAAUACAAGAUCCCGCAACUUACACUAAGUCACCUUGCUUGCAAGGCUUGUGUGUGAUGUUGUAUUACCGAGUGGGCCCCGAGAUACCUCUCCGUCACACGGAGUGACAAAUCCCAGUCUCGAUCCAUACUAACUCAACGAACACCUUCGGAGAUACCUAUAGAGCAUCUUUAUAGUCACCCAGUUACGUUGCGACGUUUGAUACACACAAAGCAUUCCUCCGGUGUCAGUGAGUUAUAUGAUCUCAUGGUCAUAGGAACAAAUACUUGACACGCAGAAAACAAUAGCAACAAAAUGACACGAUCAACAUGCUACGUCUAUUAGUUCAGGUCUAGUCCAUCAUAUGAUUCUCCUAAUGAUGUGAUCCCAUUAUCAAGUGACAACACUUGCCUAUGGUCAGGAAACCUUGACCAUCUUUGAUCAACGAGCUAGUCAACUAGAGGCUUACUAGGGACAGUGUUUUGUCUAUGUAUCCACACAUGCACUGUGUUUCCAAUCAAUACAAUUAUAGCAUGGAUAAUAAACGAUUAUCAUGAACAAAGAAAUAUAAUAAUAACUAAUUUAGUAUUGCCUCUAGGGCAUAUUUCCAACAGUCUCCCACUUGCACUAGAGUCAAUAAUCUAGUUCACAUCACCAUGUGAUUCCAACGAAUCCAACACCCAUAUAGUUAUGGGGUCUGAUCACGUCUUGCUCAUGAGAGUGGUUUUAGUCAACGGUUCUGAAACUUUCAGAUCUGUGUGUUCUUUACAAAUCUUGAUGUCAUUUUAUAGAUGCUGCUACUAUGUGCUGUUCGGAAAUACUCCAAAUAUCUACUCUACUAUACGAAUCCGUUUCACUACUCAUAGUUAUUCGGAUUAGUGUCAAAGCUUGCAUCGAUGUAACCCUUUACGACGAACUCUUUAACCACCUCCAUAAUCGAGAAAAAUUCCUUAGUCCAUGAGUCACUAAGGAUAAAUUUUGACCGCUGCUAGUGAUUCAAUCAUGGAUCACUCUCUGUACCUCUCAACAGACUUUGAGUCAAGGCACACAUCAGGUGCGGUACCCAGCAUGGCAUACUUCAGAUUCUAUGGCCAAGGCAUAGAAGACGACCUUCGUCUAUUCUCUUUAUUCUGCCGGGGUCGGGUUUUUCGUCUUACUCAAAUUAACACCUCACAACGCAACCAAGAACUCCUUCUUUGCUGAUCUAUUUUGAACUCCUUCAAAAACUUGUCAAGGCAUGCAUCUUGUUGAAACUUCUAUUAAGCGCUUUCGAUCUAUCUCCAUAGAUCUUUGAUGCUCAACGUUCAAGUAGCGCAAUCCAGGUACUCCUUUGAAAAAUCCUUUCAAACAACCUUGUAUGCUUUACAUAAAUUCUACAUUACUUCUGAUCAACAAUAUGUCAACCACAUAUACUUAUCAGAAAUUCUAUAGUGCUCCCACUCACUUCUUUGGAAAUACAAGUUUCUCAUAAACCUUGUACAAACCCAAAAUCUUUGAUCAUCUCAUCAAAGUGUAUAUUCCAACUCCGAGAUGCUUGCACCAGUCCAUUGAAGGAUCGCUGGAGCUUGCAUACUUGUUAGUAUCUUUAGGAUCGACAAAACCUUCUGGUUGUAUCACAUACAAUGUUUGCUCAAGGAAACCGUUGAGGAAACAACGUUUUGACAUCCUAUGUGCAAUAUUUCAAAAAUAAUGCAACAACUACUAACAUAAUUCUAACAGACUUUUAGCAUCGCUACGAGUGAGAAAGUCUCACCAUAGUCAACUGUUUGAUCAUGUCCGAAACAUCUUUGCAACAAGUCGAGCUUUUCUUAAUUGUGACUUAUCACCAUCGCCGCCUGUCUUCCUUUUAAAGAUCCAUCUUUACUCAAUAGUCUUACGACCAUCAAGUAGUUCUUCCAAAGUCUACACUUUUUUUUCAUACAUGGAUCCUCUUUCGGAUUUCAUGGCCUCCAGCCAUUUGUCGGAAUCCGGGCCCAACAUCGCUUCUCCACAGCUCGUAGGUUCAUUAUUGUUCAACAACAUGACCUCCAAGACAGGGUUACCAUACCACUCUGUAGUAGUACGCGACCUUGUCGACCUACGAGGUUUGUAGUAACUUGAUCCAAAGCUCAAUGAUCACCAUCAUCAGCUUCCACUUCAAUAGGUGUAGGCGGCACAGGAACAACUUCCUGUGCCCUGCUACACACUAGUUGAAGUGAUGGUUCAGUAACCUCAUCAAGUUCUAUCACCCUCCCACUCAAUUCUUUCGAGAGAAACCUUUCCUCAAGAAAGAACCCGUUUCUAGAAACAAACACUUUGCUUCCGGAUCUGAGAUAGGAGAUGUAUCCAACUGUUUUGGAUAUCUUAUGAAGAUGCAUUUAUCCGCUUUGGGUUCGAGCUUAUCAGACUGAAACUUUUUCACAUAAGCAUCGCAGCUCCAAACUUUCAAGAAACGACAGCUUAGAUUUCUCUAAACCUUAGUCUAUACUGUGUCAUCUCAACGGAAAUACGCGGUGCCCUAUUUAAAGUGAAUGCGGUUGUCUCUAAUGCAUAACCCACAAACGAUAGUGGCAAUUCGAUAAGAGACAUCAUAGUAUGCACCUUAUCAAAUAGGGCGUGGCUAAGAUGUUCAGACACAUCAUCACACUAUGGUGUUCCAGGUGACAUGAACUGCAAAACAAUUUCCACAUUGUCUUAACUGCGUACCAAAACUCGUAACUCAGAUAUUCAUCUCUAUGAUCAUAUCGUAGACUGUUUAUCCUCUUGUCACGACGAUCUUCACUCUAAAAUAGCUUUGAACUUUUCAACAUUUCAGACUUGUGAUUCAUCAAGUAAAUACUCCAGUAUCUACUCAAAUCGUCAGUGAAGUAAGAACAUAAUGAUAUCCACUGCGUGCCUUAGCACUUAUUGGACUGCACACAUCAAAAAUGCAUUACUCCCAACAAGUUACUCUACUUGUUUCAUGUGGCAUGUUUUGCAUGUCUCAAGUGAUUCAAAAUCAAGUGAGUCCAAACGAUCCAUCAGCAUGGAGCUUCUUCAUGCAUUUUACACCAACAUGACUCAAGUGGCAGUGCCACAACUAAGUGGUACUAUCAUUAUUACUUUUUAUCUUUUGGCACUAAUAUUAUGAACAUGUGUAACACUAUGAUCGAGAUUCAAUAAACCAUUGAGGGUAAUUAUUCAAGCAAAUAGAAUAACUAUUAUUCUUUUAAAUGAAUAAUCGUAUUGCAACAAACACGAUCCAAUCAUGUUCAUGCUCAACGCAAACACCAAAUAACAAUUAUUUGGGUUUCACCACCAAUCCCGAUGAUAGAGGGAGCGUGCGAUGUUUGAUCAUAUCAAUCUUGGAAACACUUCCAACACGUAUCGUCACCUCGCCUUUAGCUAGUCUCCGUUUAUUCCGUAGCUUUCAUUUCGUGUUACCAAUCACUUAGCAACUGAACCGGUAUCCAAUACCCUCGCGCUACUAUAAGUACUAGUAAAGCACACAUCAACAUCAUGUAUAUCAAAUAUACUACUUUCGACACUAUCCAUCCUACUUAUCUACCAAGCAUCUAGGGUAGCUCCGCCUCAGUGACCGUUCCCCUCAUAACAGAAGCACUUAGUCUCGGGUUUGGGUUUAGACUUGGGUCUCUUCAUUAGUGCAGCAACUAUUUUGCUGUUUCAUGAAGUAUCCCUUCUAGCCCUUGCCUUUCAUGAAACUUAGUGGGUUUACUAACCAUCAACCAUUGAUGCUCCUUCUUGAUUUCUACUUUCGCAGUGUCAUACAUCACGAAUCUCUCAAGGAUCAUUGUAUCUAUCCUUGAUAUGUUAUAGGUCAUCACGAAGCUCUCAUAGCUUGGUGGCAGUGACUUUGGAGAACCAUCACUAUCUCAUCUGGAAGAUUAACUCCCACUUGAUUCAAGUGAUUGUCGUACUCAGACAAUCUGAGCACACGCUCAACGAUUGAGUUUUUCUCCUUUACUUCAUGGACAAAGAAUUUUGUCGGAGGUCUCAUACCUCUUAACAAGGGCACAAGCAUGAAAUCACAAUUUCAUCUCUUUAGAACAUCACUCAUGUUCCGUGACGUUUCAAAACGUCUUCGGCGCCACGCUUCUAAGCCAUUAAGUAUUUUGCAUCGAACUAUCGCAUAGUCAAAAGAAACAUGUAUGUCGGAUGUUCACAACAUCCAUAGACGACGCUCGAGGUGCAACACACUGAGUGGUGCAUUAAGGACAUAAGCCUUCUGCGCAACAACGAGGACAAUCCUUAGUUUUACAAACUCAGUCCGCAAAGUUUGCUACUAUCAACUUUCAACUAAAUUUUCUUUAGCAACAUAUUAAAAACAGUAGAGCUAUAGCGCAAGCUACAUCGUAAUUAGCAAAGACCAUUAGACUAUGUCCAUGACAAUUAGUUCAAUUAAUCAUAUUACUUAAGAACUCCCACUCAAAAAGUACAUCUCUCUAGUCAUUUGAGUGGUACAUGAUCCAAAUCCACUAUCUCAAGUCCGAUCAUCACGUGAGUCGAGAAUAGUUUUAGUGGUAAGCAUCUCUAUGCUAAUCAUAUCAACUAUACGAUUCAUGCUCGACCUUUCGGUCUCAUGUGUUCCGAGGCCAUGUCUGCACAUGCUAGGCUCGUCAAGCUUAACCCGAGUGUUCCGCGUGUGCAACUGUUUUGCACCCGUUGUAUGUGAACGUUGAGUCUAUCACACCCGAUCAUCACGUGGUGUCUCGAAACGAAGAACUGUCGCGACGGUGCAUAGUCGGGUAGAACACAAUUUCGUCUUGAAAUUUUAGUGAUAGAUCACCUCAUAAUGCUACCAUCGUUCUAAGCAAGAUAAGGUGCAUAAAGGAUUAACAUCACAUGCAAUUCAUAAGUGACAUGAUAUGGCCAUCAUCAUGUGCUUCUUGAUCUCCAUCACCAAAGCACCGGCACGAUCUUCUUGUCACCGGCGUCACACCAUGAUCUCCAUCAACGUGUCUCCAUCGGGGUUGUCGUGCUACUCAUUCUAUAACUACUAAAGCUACAUCCUAGCAAUAUAGUAAACACAUCUGCAAGCACAAACGUUAGUUUAAAGACAGCCCUAUGGCUCCUGCCGGUUGCCGUACAUUCGACGUGCAAGUCGAUAUUAACUAUUACAACAUGAUCAUCUCAUACAUCCAAUAUAUCACAUCACAUCGUUGGCCAUAUCACAUCACAAGCAUACCCUGCAAAAACAAGUUAGACGUCCUCUAAUUGUUGUUGCAUGUUUUACGUGGUGACCAUGGGUAUCUAGUAGGAUCGCAUCUUACUUACGCAAACACCACAACGGAGAUAUAUGAAUUGCUAUUUAACCUCAUCCAAGGACCUCCUCGGUCAAAUCCGAUUCAACUAAAGUUGGAGAAACCGACACUCGCCGGUCAUCUUUGAGCAACGGAGUUACUCGUAGCAAUGAAACCAGUCUCUCGUAAGCGUACGAGUAAUGUCGGUCCGAGCCGCUUCGAUCCAACAAUACCGCGGAAUCAAGAAAAGACUAAGGAGGGCAGCAAAACGCACAUCACUGCCCACAAAAACUUUUGUGUUCUACUCGAGAUUACAUCUACGCAUGAACCUAUCUCAUGAUGCCACUGUUGUGGAACGUCGCAUGGGAAACAAAAAUUGUCCUACGUGCACGAAGACCUAUCAUGGUGAUGUCCAUCUACGAGAGGGGAUUUCUGAUCUAUGUACCCUUGUAGAUCGCACAGCAGAAGCGUUAAGAAACGCGGUUGAUGUAGUGGAAUGUCCUCACGACCCUCGAUCCGCCCCGCGAACCGUCCCACGAACCGUCCCGCGAUCCGUCCCACGAGCCGCUCCGAUCUAGUGCCGAACGGACAACACCUCCGCGUUCAACACACGUCCAGCUCGACGAAGAUCUCGGCCUUCUUGAUCCAGAAAGAGAUACGGAGAGGUAGAUGAGUUCUCUGGCAGCGUGACGGCGCUCCGGAGGUUGGUGGUGAUCCAAUCUCAGCAGGGCUCCGCCCGAGCUCCGCAGAAAUGCGAUCUAGAGGUAAAACCGUGGAGGUAUGUGGUCGGGCUGCCGUUGCAAAAGUUGUCUCAAAUCAGCCCUAAAACCCCACUAUAUAUAGGAGGGAGGGAGGGGAGGAGGCAGCCUCAAAACCUAAAGGUUUGGCCGAAAUUGGAGGUGGAGGAGUCCUACUCCAAUCCUACUUGGAGUAGAAUUCCACCUUCCCACUUGGAAACUCUUUCCACCUUGUGUUUUUUCCUUCUCAAACCUUAUGGGCCUUAGUGGGAAC